CAGCAAAAUCACCAGUGUUAAAUUUUCGGGGAUGGUGUUAAAUACACAGUGUUGAUGCUGUUUUAACACUAUCUGGUAAUAAAAUAACACUGCCAUUGCUAGGCCAGUGUUAUAUCCACAACAGUGUCAGUGUUAAACAAGGGUGUUAUCAGAUUUCACUCUGAGCGGUGUAAAUCAAGCCACGCCUCCACUAAACAUUUCCUGUCAGGGAUUUUACCGCCAUUUUCUUUCACAGGAGGACUGAAGAGAUCAGGUAAAUCAGUCUCAUAAUUUUCACAUGGUUUAGCUAAAUUAAACUGUUAUUUCUCUGUCUGACUCUACGCAGCCAUAUGCCAAAAAACCUAAAUAAGAUAUUUUUUCCAUUUUAUUUCCCCUUUAUUCGUUAUUUGGUUCAGUUUAAUCAGAGCUACCUUGUGUUACGUUGUUCCCUUGUUAGUUUAGUAUAAAGUUAAACUGCUAGCUAAAAGUUUAAAUAAAACCAAGAGGAUAAUUUUAACAGGAGAUAUGAACGAAAGAAUUGAACCAUGAUAAAACGCGACAUGCACUACAAAUUGAAGGUAACGUUAUGAAAUUAAGUUAAAUGAAAGCUCGUUUAUUCACCAUAUGAUGCUCGUUAUAAGGUAAUCAUAUAGGCUAGAUACCGUGAGUUAACGAGGUCGUUUACAUGCACGUGAGUGCACGGAUAUCGGUUAAUUAUUCAAAUUACUGAAAAACACGGAGAAAACCGCAACCGCAUCGUCAUGUGUUUUUCUAAGAUGUAUGCAAACAGGGGAAAUAUCGCCAAACCAACAAUUAAUUUGACCAAAACCUCACAAUAUAUCAUCAUUUGUAUGCACAGAUUGGAUGCAUUGUGUGUUGUAAGCUUUUCGUGGCGCUAGAUGUCAGACAGAUGCAAAUGGCAAAUACAUACGAAAGUGUAAAACGUGUAUGGCGAACAUUUGUUUUUCUGUCAUUAUAGAUGCUAGUUUGGUGAAAGUACACACUGAGUGCUUCAAAUCAUUCAGAAGAGAUGCUGUUUUUAGGGCAGUUUAUUAAAGAAGACCUGACAUGGAUGACUUCCAAUGAGAAACGACCGCUAAUACUUAUAUAAAUUCAUUACAGAAGGACCCUACCAGACUAUAUUUGAAUACGGCAUACCCAUGAAUUCUGGAACUGUUAUUCCUUAACCCAGUUUGGAGGAUAAGAGCUUACCAACUAGUUAUAAAUAUGCUGAGGUGAUGUAUUGCAAAAUAGCCAACAUACAACAAUAUGGAUGACCCUCUGUCUGGUCAACAGGAGUUUAAAUAUGGACGGGACAGUUAUGUGGCAGCUCUUCCCUGGCUCAUUCACCUCUUGCCUUUCAUUUGUGAAAGGAAGAAAGACUGGAGAGGGUCAAUGUGCAACUGAAGCUACUGAUUGUGCUGUGUGAUGAGCAUCAGUCCAUGCUUUGAGGGGGAUGAAUCAGCACAGCCCUGCCUGCACUGCGUUGGGAACAGAAGUUGCAUCCAGAAUUUUUGCAUCAUUCUGGACCAAAAAGCCAUUCCCUCCAUGAUGAAGACCACUGGUGCAGCCUUCCACUACAUCAUGAGUAAAACAACUACAAAUACCAGGUUGGAACGUAUUUAAGAAAAAUGAAAUGUCUUUUGAAUUGAAAUGUCUGUUUUGUUAUGGAUAAAUCUUUAGUAUUGUGAAGGAUAAGCAUUUCUGCCUGCCAGUAAGGUAAUUGCAGUGUAUUUUAAUGUUCAAGUUUUGAGUAGGGUGGCUAAUGUUUUUUAAACUCUCAUUUGAUAUAUUAAAGACCUUAUAAUAAGUGGUUUUCAUGUCACUGCGCUGUGGUAUAAGAUAACUUUCAUUAUUCCAUACUGUAUUCUGUUUCUAAUUGUAGCUGAGGUAUUUAAAUAAGCAGUGUUAAAUGCAAAGUGUUGUGUGUAUCAAUGUAAAUAUUAAAUGUGAUGUACUUUAAUAAAAAGAGGUUUUGCAAUAUUUCUUGUCAUUUGUCUUUUAUAGAAACAACCCAUUAGCAACAAAAGUGGCUAUUAAUCAGUAUUUUAACACUUAACAUUGUUGAAUU